rnacentral:lncRNA from 1 species
GGGUUAAAAUUGGGUUAAAAUUGGGUUAAAAUUGGGUCAGAAUUGGGUUAAAAUGGGGUCAGAAUUGGGUUAAAAUUGGAUUAAAUUUGGGUUUAAAUUGGGUUAAAAUUGGGUUAAAUUUGGGUUAAAUUGGGUUAAAUUGGGUUAAAACGUGUUCUGGGUUGGGUUUGGGUGAAAUGUGGGGUGGGGGGAAUGAAAUCAACCCAAAAUUCACUCAAAAUCCACCCAAAUUCAUCCAAAUUCACCCAAAAUUUGAUCUGGGUUGUUCAAAUCUGCCCAGAAUUCACCCAAAACUCCCCAAAUCCAACCCCAAAACCCCAAAAUCUGACCCAAAAAUACCCCAAAGUCCCCAAAUUUGAGCUCAAAAAUCCCAAAUCCGACCCCAAAAAUCCCCAAAAUUCCAAAUUCGAUCCCAAAAAUCCCCAAUCCGACCCCAAAAAUCCCCAAAAAAUCCCAAAUCCGACCCCAAAAAUCCCAAAUUUGACCCCAAAAAAUCCCCAAAACCCCCAAAUCUGA